rnacentral:lncRNA from 1 species
UGUGUAUAUAUAUGUGUAUGCAUAAACUUUUUUGAGAAGAAUACACAAAUAUAUACUUUUUUCAGAAGAAUACAAAGAAUAGUGAGAUGCUCACAACUCCAUUUUAUGUUUUUGGUCCCACACAUUUUCAAACCUCAGUUGCAGUAAGUUUAGACCAUGAGUCAAGUAUUUUGUUUUGCAAUGCCAAGGAAAAGUAAAAAGAGCACAUGUUUCAAAACAGGUAGACCUGAAUAUGAGUCCAGCUCUGCCGCUUGAGUAUUUGGUUGAAUUAUUGACUUUUUUUCUAUACACCUUGUAUCAUUUGACCUGAAAAUAAUGUUGAUUACAUUCUUAUUCCUCAUUUCUACUUCCACAUUUCCCUUCUUCCUCUUAAAAAUUUUUGAGCUUUAAUUUGCACUUCAUCAGAUUAUAACAGAUGUUACUCCUUCCUCUCUGUUCUUGUUGUCAAAAUACCCCAAGAGAGGAAUUCAAUGUUUUGUUGUUGUUUCUUGAAUAUUUUAGCAGCUGAGUCACUCCCAGUCUCCACUCUUGUCUUUAUAAUUACUUUUUAAAAUCUCAUGCUGUAUCUAAUGAAUGCACUUGUCUUCAUUUUUGAUGAUUUUAAUAUCCAUUUUGAUGAGGCUUCCAGUAUCUGAAACUUUAAUGUUUGGAACUCUUCUCCUGGAAUGACUUUGUUUUGUUCCCUAUAUUAGCCACUCUCAUCUGUGGUUACACCUCACCAUUUCCUUGCUAUUAAAACCAAUAACCUAUCAAUAUAUUCAUUCGUGCACAAUGUUUUUAUUUUUACUUAAUACCUUCCAUCUUCCUAGCUGACUACCUCUUGUACUAUAACACGAAUAAUUUACAAACAGCAUUUAGACUUGCCAUCCAUUGUCCAACUGUCUUGUCUUCUCCUUUGGAAAUUACACAUGUUUACAUUCCUUAUCUUCCUAAUGUUUUUAGUUCCUUCCUUAAACUGUUUAAAAUAUAUUGUCCAUGACUAAAAUCACUGUCUUGCAUAUAUGCUCAAUGUUUAUGUCCUAUUCUGGCUUUGUCACAACCAACUUUGUUAGGAACAGCUCCCCAGAUCUUUUGCAUCUACCUUAACAGCUGAAUAUAGAUGGAGAGUAAAAUACAAUCAUAUGGAUUGCCCCUUCUUUUAACUGAUGAAAAAUGACACCAAAUAGGCCUUUUUUCUGCAAAACAUUCACAAUGUAUUUUCCUCUAGUGAAAGGAUAUGAUAAUUUCAGUCGCAGAUGACUAUUUAAUAGUAUUUCAUAGAGCCAUAGUAUUUUCCAGAGGCUGUAUGGUGUAGUUGCUAAUAUUCCAGAUGUCUAUUUGAAACAUUCACUUGAAUGUCUAAUAUCCAGUUUGAAGUUAUCAUGUACCAAAAUUAACUCAUCAUCUUCCCCUCCAAACUAGUUUCUUUCUUUACAUCUUUCUGCAGGCCCAUAUGGCCGGCCUGCCUUCCCCACAUUCAGGACGUUUCCACCACAUGCUCCCUUUCCUCUAGUCAGGCUAGUCUGCUCGCUCUUCACAAACAUCAGCUCGUUCCUAGGGGCAACCGGUGUUGCUGGACUUUUACAUUAAAACAUUCUUCUCCAAAAUAUUACCUCUAAUUUUCAGGUCUCAGUCAAAUAUCACCUUAAAGAGGACUUCCAAGAUCAUUCUAUUAAAAAUUGAAUGACUAACAUCCUCCCUGCCCCAGCUUAAAAUACGCAUACCCUUAACACUACGUUAUUUUGCUUCAUGGCACUAUCACCAUCUGACACAGUAUAUAGGUUAUUUUACAACAAUUAUUUUCUGUCUUUUUCACUAACAUGUAACCAACCUGUGAGCUAGGACUUCACUGAUUAUUUUGUUUAUUGCUGCAUUCUUGAGAUCUAAAAGAAUACUGGACUAAUAACAGUGCUGGAUUCAUACUUGUUAAUUAAAUAAAUGAAAUGACACACAUGGACACUAGAGGAAAUUUCAUUAUCCUAUACUCAAAGCUACAGAAAGCAUGAAAUGCAGACCAAAUUCUAGACAUAUUAAUAUAAAACUUCAUUAUGUAUUCAGUACAAUGUUCACUAUUUGGGUGAUGAGUACACCAGAAGCCCAAAUAUCACCAUUACACCAUAUAUGCCUAUGACAAACCUGCACAUGUACUCUCUGAAUCUAUAAUUGUUUAAAAAUGCAUAUUCUGCAGGAUUGGAAAAACGGUAUAUAAAGUUGCCAGUAUUGUGUCUAUAAAUGUCCAACAAAAUUAAUUAUAUCUCUAUCUUCUUUGAUUUUUCAUAGUGUACGUGACAGGGUUUGGAUCUAUAUCCCCACACAAAUAUCCUGUUCACUUGUAAUCCUCAAUGUUGGAGGUGGGGCCUGGUGAGAGGUGACUGGAUCGUGGGGGUGGAUCCCUCGUGAAUGGUUUAGCACCAUCCUCUUGGUGCUGUUUUGAUGAUGGUGAGUGAGUUCUCAUGGGAUCUGGUUGUUUAAAAGUAUGUAGCACUUCUGACCUCUUCUUCUUCCUCUUUCUCUGGCUAUGUGAAGUGUUGGCUCCCGCUUUGCCUUCCACCAUGAUUGUAAGCUCCCUGAGACCUCCCCAGAAGCUGAUGCCACCAUGCUUUCUGUACAUCCUGCAGAACUGUGAGCCAAUUAAACCUCUUUUUCUUUUAAUAAGUUACUCAGUCUCAGGUAUUUCUUUAUAGCAGCAUGACAAUGGACAAAUACAGUAGGUAAGCUUAGUAUCUACCACCUAACUUAUAACUUAUGAAGUCUGGGGUAAAAUCAAAGCAGUCUCAGUCAAUUAUUUAAUGUGUUGAUGUUAUAAGAAAUCACCUCUUUUAAAAUGCAAGAACCUAUAAAACUUUUCCAUUAAUGUAAACACAACUUAAUUUUCAAGUCUCAAAUUAUAUCUUACCUAUACAUACAAUAUAUAACUUCUGAAUAAUUUCUUGAGGAAUAUUUUCCAGGACUGUAUUGUGGGUGAAAUUAUCAAUAUUUUUACCACAUGCUAGUAGUAAAUAAGAGAGAGGCAAGAUGUUUGCCAGAAAAUAUCUUCUAAGCAGGAAAAGAGCAAAUGAUUGUCAAGGGAAGAUCUAAAGCCAGAGAUACAAAAACUGAAAGAGUAUCCACGAGAAAGAAUCAACUUAAGACAGACAACAAAGGAGGGCCUCUUUACUUCAGUAAUUUUUUGCACUGUAUCAAGCACCACUUCUUUACCACCUGGCAUCUACUGCUGCUGUUUGAAUCUUUAUCUUACGAACAGAGGCAGGAUUUUAUCUACAUAACAUCGUUCUCCCAUUCAAAGG